rnacentral:rRNA from 1 species
AGCAGCCGCGGUAAUUCCAGCUCCAAUAGCGUAUAUUAAAGUUGCUACAGUUAAAAAGCUCGUAGUUGAAUUUCGGGAUCAAUAUGUUGGUCGUGCCUUGGUACGUACUAGCUUAUUGGUUUCUCCCUUCUGACGAACCAUGAUGUCAUUAAUUUGGUGUUAUGGGGAAUCAGGACUGUUACUUUGAAAAAUUAGAGUGUUUAAAGCAGGCUCGCGCUUGAAUACAUUAGCAUGGAAUAAUGAAAUAGGACAUUUGAUUCUAUUUUGUUGGUUUCUAGGAUCGAUGUAAUGAUUAAUAGGGAUAGUUGGGGGCAUUAGUAUUCAAUUGUCAGUGGUGAAAUUCUUGGAUUUAUUGAAGACUAACUACUGCGAAAGCAUUUGCCAAGGAUGUUUUACAUUAAUCAAGAACGAAAGUUAGGGGAUCGAAGACGAUCAGAUACCGUCGUAGUCUUAACCAUAAACUAUGCCGACUAGGGAUCGGAUGAUGUUAAUUUUUAAUGUACUCAUUCGGUACCG